rfam:Medicago truncatula strain A17 chromosome 7, whole genome shotgun sequence.
AGAUGUUCCACAGGGCCGACCCGAGACCACAUGAAGUUAUCAUAUGUGUCUAAGCUACACAUCUCGUGUGUUCUCAGGUCGCCCCUGCUGAAUUCUC